rnacentral:rRNA from 1 species
AUGUCUUCGAGAACAUAUGAUUCUGGUUCUAAAAAGCGUAAGAAGAAGCAAAAGCAAGAAGCAGAAGCGCAACGUCUAAAGGGUUCUCUUGACAGAUUUGUCGUGAAAGAACCUCCAUUAAAUUCUGACGCCCAGACUGUAGUUGAGACAGAGGCUGGCACUGUAAAUGAAGAUGAUGAUGCUAACAUUGCAGAUGGAGGUGAUAAUGUUAAUAUUGGUGCUGAAGAUGAUGCUGUUAGUACUGCCGUUGAAGGUGAUGAUUACAGCAACAAUUAUUUUACGCCUGAUAUAUUUGAUCCAAGAAACUGGGUUGCACUUGAUGCUAAAAUGAUUGAUAUUUUGCUACAAAAGGGUCCUAAAAGAGACUGGUCUAUUGAGCAUGACUUAAAGAGCAUGAAACUAGUAGAAGUCCUACUUGCGUUCUACUAUGACACAAGAAAGACUCACUGGGUUGGCGACAAUAGCACCUGA